rnacentral:rRNA from 1 species
AAAUUGAAGAGUUUGAUCAUGGCUCAGAUUGAACGCUGGCGGCAGGCCUAACACAUGCAAGUCGAACGGUAACAGGAAGAAGCUUGCUUCUUUGCUGACGAGUGGCGGACGGGUGAGUAAUGUCUGGGAAACUGCCUGAUGGAGGGGGAUAACUGCUGGAAACGGUAGCUAAUACCGCAUAACGUCGCAAGACCA